ensembl:lncRNA
UAUGCCCUCAUCCUCUGGGCCUUUUUACAUCCCGUCCAACCUGGAAAGAUCCCUUCCCUGUGGCCCCAGUUCACACACAGACAAAUGGAGACAGACACUCUUUUACCCUACAGUUAGUGUGGGUCAUUUGUAUCUAACCUUAAUGUCACUUGCUUCGGGAAGCUUCCCAGACCUCCAGCUUCUUGGUCCCGAGUGUUGUGGCUGCUUCUACCUAGAGUUUACAGUGGUUGCUGGUCUCAAUGUAUGGUUGUACGAUGACAGUUUUUUAAAUUCUUUUUUUUUUGACACUGUGGCCUGGUUUAACAAUGUGACACUGGGCUCCUGUUCCUGGACCACCUGGAUUAGAGGGAGUGCUAUGCAGUGUUGGCAAGUGGCCAAUGGGCACUCUCUGGAUUCUAUUGGAACAGAGUGUCAAUUGCUUCCAUCUGCAUCUGCAUGACACUGGACCUGGGAAGUUUACUCCCUUUCCCUGAACUGCUUAUUAUGCCCUGUAAACCUGUACAGACACAUCGGUGACAGCUGCCCCAUCAUCCCAGAAGACUCUCUACCACCCCCACAUGGUAGCAGCUAGAUGCAUGGUAACCUUGUAAUCUUAUUAAACAUGUGAGGAGAUACUGGGGACAUUUCCCAGUGUUCUUCCACAAAGACUUUUGUCUAGGUCUACACAGAGAAUUCUUUUAGAAAUCGGAGCAUGAUCAUCUUGGGAAGCAGAGGUGUGUUUGUCAUUGUCUCUCUUGCAAGAGGUGCUGUUGCAUGUUUGGGCAGCUGAGAGCAGCUUCACUGAGGAAGACACAGCAGGCAGUGAGUCUCCCUCAUAGCUGCUGACUGAGACUCUUGUGUGGACCCACAAGUCUGUGAGCUGCUGUCGGAUAUCCUGCAAGUCUGGGUCCUCAGGGUACAAGGUUUAUUUCAGAAGAUCUCCACCAGCACACUCGGAACUUCAAGGCUCUCAGGGCUCACCGUGUCAAGUUACAUGUUUGGGCUCUCUAAGAAUUCUCCUAAAUCUCCCAAAGCUAUCACAGCAUACAUCUCUCUCAACGAAGUAGAUGGCUUUAUGCAGCCCAUACUCUCGAGAGAGGCACAUCUUGUUCAGUUUGCCCAGCUAUGUUAAUUGUCUCAACAUUGUUAUUUUAAAAUUAGUUUUAAAAACAACCACAUUUCAACCGUGAAAUAUGUUAAAAUACUUUAAGACAGCCACCUAAAAUCAAUGUUAACAUUUUAAAUAUCCUCUUGAAACUUCUGGUGGCUCUUCUUCCUGGCUUGUCACACGUGGCUCUCCCUUUCCAGUCUGCUUUAGUUGCUGAUGUCAGCAGCUUGGAGUGAGGUCUUUGAUCAAUAGAUUAUUCCUUUAUAGAAAAGACUGUCAUCUUUUUCCUAAAUCCCAAGAUGGGCAUCUCCCCUUUCACCCGAGCAUGUAUGCACAGGCAGUUGUUCUCUCAUCAGAUCUCCUAAUUUCAUAAAAGUCUGAGUGACUCCACAGCACCGCAGGGGAGCAGGUGGCCCUCAGCUGCACCUGGGUCAGGUAGAUAGAAGAGCUAAAGUAUGUUCUACUGGGCCGGCCUCAUUGUCCCAUGGGUUUGUGAUAUUCAGUUCCUGUUGAUGCCCUGAAAGGCAAAUGACCUGGAGUUGCUGCCUUCGGGGAAUAGAGGACUUAGCUACUGUGGGGAUGUGAUUGUCGUAGAGGAAUGGGGAGCUAGGGAAGACUGAUGACUGAGAUGACUCUGGAGCUGUGCCUUUCAUGUGGAAGAGUGUGGUAGAGCACUAUCAUCUUCCAGAGGAGUCAUGCUGGUGAGGAUCUGGUCAGAAAAAAGCCCACACAUUCCUGGUGACAGUUUUUGGAAGUGAGGAACAUGUAUCCCUCUCACCACAGUCUGGUCACUGGCUGCCUGCCCUGCAGGGGUAUGUGUGUGCUGGAGGCUGGAACAGUGAAAGGAAGACACAGGGGAGGGGGCUGUGUGAGGUGACAACAGGAUCUUGUGACCAUCUUGAAGACAUGCCAGAGGUCCUAAAUAUGCCUUGUGUUUGUCUAGGAUAUGGGGUCCAGCUCCUCGCAUCCCAGUGACUGCAGAGUGUUCCAGGUAGUCUGGCUCAGGACAGUGAAGCUGAAACUGCUGUCUGGUGUUGUGCCUGCUCCGAGGUCCAUGUGGCCGUUAGCUGAAUGUUCAUCCUGCCCAUCCCUGCCUGUGUUCCUGGAGUAGUCAGAGUCUGCUGGUUGUUUUUGGUUUUAUUUUGGUUUUGGUUUUGGUUUUGACCUGUCACCCCAUGCAAAGUGACCCUGCAGAGGUGAGAGGGAUGAGGCUCAAGUGGCCCAAGUCUUUGGGGGAACUUCCCCAUCUAUUGAUGUCCCUCUCAGCAGUGCUGGUUUACAUUAGCUGUGCGCUGUGGAAUGUGCUGGAAGAGAAGGUGGACACCCUGCACGACUCAGCUGGAUCUGCAGAGGGGUAACUUCCCUGACAAGUGGGGGUGCUCCAUUUGGAGCCCAUAGGGGAUCCAGAACUCCCCCAGACCACUGCAACUGUGUGGAAGCCAAUGCUGAGGUCCCCUGGGUUUCCUGGUGUGAGCCCAGAAUUGACACACCUCGUCUGACUUGCAGUGAUGCCUAGUUUGACUGUAUCUCCAAAUGACAAGCAUGAAAAGAUGGCUAUGUUCGACUCUCCCAUGGUUCCACAGGCUCAGUGAUGAUGGAAUGUCUCUCUGGUUUAGGGUCUGGGGUGAGACUUAAGUGAGAGUGGAGACUCUGGGAUUUAUACUCUCCAAUGUAUAUAAAUCCUGCCCUCUUCUGUCUGUACCUGUGUAAGCAUGCUGCAAGGUGCAGUGAGGGCCCAUGGCUUCCUCAUGAGACUCUCAAGCAGAGGGGAAGCCCCACCAGCCAGCAGAGCAAACAGGUGCUCUUGGAUCCACUUGUCAGAGUAGGGCGCCGACAGAAGGUCAGGAGUUGGUCUCCAGGAAAGAAAGCAGGGAUCUUGAGCAGUUUAACCCGCUGAUGGAUUUGUGGGUGGCAGGUAUGUGGAAGUGGUUCAAAGGCCAGAGCCCUGGUGGUGACUCCAGAGAUAACCUUCCCACCAAAGUGACCAGGUCCUCUUUGCAAACAUUUGAAGGUACAGAGAACAUUCUGUUGCUCCAGUAGUGAAUUUGAAGAAUUUAAAGAAAUUCCUUUGUGUGACUUAAAAGUUUGGGGUUGGAGAGGGUGGCAUUGUGUUGAUUUAAAGUUCAGAGAGCCUAUAUUCGGAGGAUGGAGUCAUUUCUCUACAAGGAGAACAAACAUUAGCUGAGAAGACGAAUAGGAAAAAUAAGUGAACCCUCAAAAAACUCACAGUUGCCAAAGGAGUCUUUCCUGCUCCAGCCAGGUCAGCUACUGCGAGAGAUGGCUUGUGCUGUCUCUUUGGAACCCACAGGCUUGUUGACGCUUUCUGUGGAGUACAUGCAGCAGGGAGGAUGAUGCUGGCCACUUUCUUGCUUCCUGAUAACUGCAAUGCUAUGGAGAAGGUUUGGGUCACUUGGGAGGCCCGAGCCUCAUGCUCUGUAGUCAUGUAUCUAGGAUUCACCCAGAGGAGUCACAGUAGCAAUUUUGUUGGUGCCUGAUGCUUGCCUUCUUGGAAACCUCUGUACAAAACAUGGAUGAGACACUCUCAAGGUCAACAUCAAGUUCCCUGCAGUGGGAUGAGAUGGAGACUUGAUGCCGCUAGUUGAGUUUUGGUGCUGUGGAAUUGGAGGUUAACUUUCGUGUGGAUGCCUGGUGGCUGUCAGGAUGGGCGCCAUGAAGGCACCAGCCUGGUAAAGAUGAACUGGGGCUACUAUGGAUGGAAGAACCUUGUACAUCAACAACCCUCAGAUGGCUGCUUGUAUUUCUUGAGGGACACUAUUAAACAAGGGGCCCAACACUGAUUUCUGCAUCUGGCAGGUGGACACAAGGAGACAACAAUCACUCCAUGGGGGAUGGUGGUAACUAAGGCCCUUGCUAUCAGGCCAAAAUAGUGCAGUCCCUACAAAUCACCCAAAUGAGGUAGAGUGUAAUGGCCUCUGGCACACUGUACAGAGUUACUACUUCACUUGAGCUUUUUCAUCUGUGGCAGAACUCAACAGAGAAACAGCAUGUGGUUGAUAAACACACCUUGGUCAGGGCACCUUCUCUCACACCCUAUGGGGCCCACUCCACAGGGCAAGCUUCAUACUACACAUAUCAUGUGGCCUACUACAGUUACCCGCUACAGAGCAUGGGCUUCAGUGAAGGACAUGGUGUCCUGGUGGAAG